UGAGGACCGAGCCGAGGGGCGGGGGCUCCCUCCCGGGAGUUUCUAGAGCUCCGAGGCUGCUAGUGGGGAAAGACAAGACAAGCCCAGAGGAGUUAAGGCAAUGCUCAGGUAUUACUCCUGGUUCUGUGCUCAGAAAUCACUCCUUGUGGUGCUUGUGGGACCAUAUGUGAUGCCAGAGGUCAAUCCAGGGUCAACCAUGAGCAAGG